rnacentral:rRNA from 1 species
UACGAAGGGGGCUAGCGUUGCUCGGAAUCACUGGGCGUAAAGCGCACGUAGGCGGAUUGUUAAGUCAGGGGUGAAAUCCUGGAGCUCAACUCCAGAACUGCCUUUGAUACUGGCGAUCUUGAGUCCGGGAGAGGUGAGUGGAACUGCGAGUGUAGAGGUGAAAUUCGUAGAUAUUCGCAAGAACACCAGUGGCGAAGGCGGACUCACUGGCCCGGUACUGACGCUGAGGUGCGAAAGCG